GAUGAACGCUGGCGGCGUGCCUAAUACAUGCAAGUCGAGCGAACAGACGAGGAGCUUGCUCCUCUGACGUUAGCGGCGGACGGGUGAGUAACACGUGGAUAACCUACCUAUAAGACUGGGAUAACUUCGGGAAACCGGAGCUAAUACCGGAUAAUAUAUUGAACCGCAUGGUUCAAUAGUGAAAGACGGUUUUGCUGUCACUUAUAGAUGGAUCCGCGCCGCAUUAGCUAGUUGGUAAGGUAACGGCUUACAAAGGCAACGAUGCGUAGCCGACCUGAGAGGGUGAUCGCCCACACUGGAACUAGGACACGUUCCAGACUCCUACGGGAGGCAGCAGUAGGGAAUCUUCCGCAAUGGGCGAAAGCCUGACGGAGCAACGCCGCGUGAGUGAUGAAGGUCUUCGGAUCUUAAAACUCUGUUAUUAGGGAAGACCAAAUGUGUAAGUAAAUAUGCACGUCUUGACGGUACCUAAUCAGAAAGCCACGGCUAACUACGUG
rnacentral:rRNA from 1 species